CUACGGGGGGCAGCAGUGAGGAAUAUUGCACAAUGGGGGGAACCCUGAUGCAGCAACGCCGCGUGGAGGAUGACGCAUUUCGGUGUGUAAACUCCUUUUAUAUGUCAAGAAAAUGACGGUAGCAUAUGAAUAAGCACCGGCUAACUCCGUGCCAGCAGCCGCGGUAAUACGGAGGGUGCAAGCGUUACUCGGAAUCACUGGGCGUAAAGGACGCGUAGGCGGGCUUGUAAGUCAGGUGUGAAAGCCAACAGCUUAACUGUAGAACUGCACUUGAAACUCUCAACCUAGAGUAUGGGAGGGGCAGAUGGAAUUAGUGGUGUAGGGGUAAAAUCCGUAGAUAUCACUAGGAAUACCUAAAGCGAAGGCGAUCUGCUGGAACAUUACUGACGCUAAGGCGUGAAAGCGUGGGGAGCAAACAGGAUUAGAUACCCUUGUAGUC
rnacentral:rRNA from 1 species